rnacentral:rRNA from 1 species
AUUGAACGCUGGCGGCAUGCUUUACACAUGCAAGUCGAACGGCAGCGCGGGUGCCUGCACCUGGCGGCGAGUGGCGAACGGGUGAGUAAUAUAUCGGAACGUGCCCUAGAGUGGGGGACAACCAGUCGAAAGAUUGGCUAAUACCGCAUACGAUCUAAGGAUGAAAGUGGGGGACCUUCGGGCCUCAUGCUCCUGGAGAGGCCGAUAUCUGAUUAGCUAGUUGGUGGGGUAAAGGCCUACCAAGGCGACGAUCAGUAGCUGGUCUGAGAGGACGAUCAGCCACACUGGGACUGAGACACGGCCCAGACUCCUACGGGAGGCAGCAGUGGGGAAUUUUGGACAAUGGGGGCAACCCUGAUCCAGCAAUGCCGCGUGAGUGAAGAAGGCCUUCGGGCUGUAAGGCUCUUUUGUCAGGGAAGAAAUUGCCUGGGUUAAUACCCUGGGUAGAUGACGGUACCUGAAGAAUAAGCACCGGCUAACUACGUGCCAGCCGCCGCGGUAA